AUGGUUAGGAGUGUACCGAUUGGUGAGAAGCUCUUCAUAGGAGGAGACCUCAAUGGCCACGUGGGUACAUCUAACACAGGUUUUGAAGGGGCGCAUGGGGGCUUUGGCUAUGGCAUCAAGAAUCAAGAAGGAGAAGAUGUCUUAAGCUUUGCUCUAGCCUACAACAUGAUUGUAGCUAACACCCUCUUUAGAAAGAGAGAAUCACAUCUGGUGACUUUUAGUAGUGGCCAACACUCUAGCCAGAUUGAUUUCAUCCUCUCGAGAAGAGAAGAUAGGCGUGCGUGCCUAGACUGUAAGGUGAUACCUGGGGAGAGUGUUGUACCCCAGCAUAAGCUGGUGGUUGCUGACUUCCGCUUUCGGAUUCGUGUCCAGCGGGAUAAGCGUGCCAAGGUCGCUAGAACGAAGUGGUGGAAGCUCAAGGGGGAGGUAGCUCAGGUGUUCAAGGAGAGGGUAUUUAAGGAGGGCCCUUGGGAGGAAGGAGGGGAUGCGGACAAUGUGUGGAUGAAGAUGGCGACUUGCAUUCGUAAGGUGGCCUCGGAGGAGUUUGGAGUGUCCAGGGGAAGGAGAAGCGAAGAUAAGGAUACCUGGUGGUGGAAUGAUGGUGUCCAGAAGGCGCUUAAAGAGAAGAAAGAUUGCUUCAGACGCCUAUACCUGGAUAGGAGUGCAGACAACAUAGAGAAGUACAAGAUGGAGAAGAAGGCCGCAAAGCAAGCUGUUGGUGAAGCAAGGGGUCGGGCAUAUGAGGACCUUUACCAACGGUUAGGCACGAAGGAAGGUGAAAGGGAUAUCUAUAAGAUGGCUAAGAUCCUGGAGAGGAAGACGAGGGAUAUUGGCCAAGUCAAAUGCAUCAAGGACGGAGCAGGCCAACUCUUGGUGAAGGACGAAGAGAUUAAGCAUAGAUGGCGGGAGUACUUCGACAAGCUGUUCAAUGGGGAGAAUGAGAGUUCUACCAUUGAACUGAAUGACUCCUUUGAUGAGACCAGCAUGCGUUUUGUGCGGCGCAUCCAGGAGUCUGAGGUGAAGGAGGCUUUAAAAAGGAUGAAAGGAGGCAAGGCGAUGGGCCCUGAUUGUAUCCCCAUUGAGGUGUGGAAAGGUCUCGGGGACAUAGCGAUAGUAUGGCUAACCAAGCUUUUCAACCUCAUUUUUCGGGCAAACAAGAUGCCAGAAGAAUGGAGACGGAGUAUAUUAGUACCAAUCUUCAAGAACAAGGGAGAUGUUCAGAGUUGUACUAAUUAUCGUGGAAUUAAGCUGAUGAGCCAUACAAUGAAGCUAUGGGAGAGAGUCAUUGAGCACCGCUUAAGAAGAAUGACAAGCGUGACCAAAAAUCAGUUUGGUUUCAUGCCUGGGAGGUCGACCAUGGAAGCCAUUUUCUUGGUACGACAACUUAUGGAGAGAUAUAGGGAGCAUAAGAAGGACUUGCAUAUGGUGUUCAUUGACUUGGAGAAGGCCUAUGAUAAGAUACCGUGGAAUGUCAUGUGGUGGGCCUUGGAGAAACACAAAGUCCCAGCAAAGUACAUUACCCUCAUCAAGGACAUGUACAAUAAUGUUGUGACAAGUGUUCGAACAAGUGAUGUCGACACCGAUGACUUCCCGAUUAAGAUAGGACUGCAUCAGGGGUCAGCUUUGAGCCCUUAUCUUUUUGCAUUGGUGAUGGAUGAGGUCACAAGGGGUAUACAAGGAGAUAUCCCAUGGUGUAUGCUCUUUGCGGAUGAUGUGGUGCUAGUUGACGAUAGUCGGACGGGGGUAAAUAGGAAGUUAGAGUUAUGGAGACAAACCUUGGAAUCGAAAGGGUUUAGGCUUAGUAGAACUAAAACCGAGUACAUGAUGUGCGGUUUCAGUACUACUAGCUGUGAGGAGGAGGAGGUUAGCCUUGAUGGCCAGGUGGUACCUCGGAAGGACACCUUACAGUAUUUGGGGUCAAUGUUGCAGGAGGAUGGGGGUAUUGAUGAAGAUGUGAACCAUCGAAUCAAAGCCGGAUGGAUGAAGUGGCGCCAAGCUUCUGGCAUUCUCUGUGACAAGAGAGUGCCACAAAAGCUAAAAGGCAAGUUCUACAGGACGACGGUUCGACCCGCAAUGUUGUAUGGCGCGGAGUGUUGGCCGACUAAAAGACGACAUGUUCAACAGUUAGGUGUGGCGGAGAUGCGUAUGUUGAGAUGGAUGUGUGGCCACACGAGGAAGGAUCGAGUCCGGAAUGAUGAUAUACGAGAUAGAGUUGGGGUAGCACCAAUUGAGGAGAAGCUUGUCCAACAUUGUUUGAGAUGGUUUGGGCAUAUUCAGCGCAGGCCUCCAGAAGCUCCAGUGCAUAGAGGACGGCUAAAGCGUGCGGAGAAUUUCAAGAGAGGGCGGGGUCGACCGAUUUUGACAUGGGAGGAGUCCGUUAAGAGAGACCUGAAGGAUUGGAGUAUCGACAAAGAGCUAGCUAUGGACAGGGGUGCGUGGAAGCUUGCUAUCCAUGUGCCAGAGCCAUGA
rnacentral:rRNA from 1 species